UUACGGUCAAAUCGUUCUGAAACACCUGUUUUCAUUUGAUCACUAAAGUUAAGCACUGUCGAGCCAGGUCAGUAGUUAGGUGGGGACCGCUUGGGAGCA